AUUGAACGCUGGCGGCAGGCCUAACACAUGCAAGUCGAGCGAGCGGCGGACGGGUGAGUAAUGUAUGGGGAUCUGCCUGAUGGAGGGGGAUAACUACUGGAAACGGUAGCUAAUACCGCAUACCAUCAGAUGAACCCAUAUGGGAUGAGCUUGUAGGUGGGGUAACGGCUCACCAAGGCUACGAUCCGUAGCUGGUCUGAGAGGAUGAUCAGCCACACUGGGACUGAGACACGGCCCAGACUCCUACGGGAGGCAGCAGUGGGGAAUAUUGGACAAUGGGGGCAAGCCUGAUGCAGCCAUGCCGCGUGUAUGAAGAAGGCCUUCGGGUUGUAAAGUACUUUUAGUCGGGAGGCGUUACCGACAGAAUAAGCACCGGCUAACUCCGUGCCAGCAGCCGCGGUAAUAC
rnacentral:rRNA from 1 species